UGAGCUCAGCAAGAACACCC
rnacentral:rRNA from 1 species